GAUGAACGCUGGCGGCGUGCCUAAUACAUGCAAGUCGAGCGAACAGACGAGGAGCUUGCUCCUCUGACGUUAGCGGCGGACGGGUGAGUAACACGUGGAUAACCUACCUAUAAGACUGGGAUAACUUCGGGAAACCGGAGCUAAUACCGGAUAAUAUAUUGAACCGCAUGGUUCAAUAGUGAAAGACGGUUUUGCUGUCACUUAUAGAUGGAUCCGCGCCGCAUUAGCUAGUUGGUAAGGUAACGGCUUACCAAGGGGACGAUGCGAAGCCGACCUGAGAGGGGGAUCGGCCACACUGGAACUGGGACACGGUCCAGACUCCUACGGGAGGCAGCAGUAGGGAAUCUUCCGCAAUGGGCGAAAGCCUGACGGAGCAACGCCGCGUGAGUGAUGAAGGUCUUCGGAUCGUAAAACUCUGUUAUUAGGGAAGAACAAAUGUGUAAGUAACUAUGCACGUCUUGACGGUACCUAAUCAGAAAGCCACGGCUAACUACGUG
rnacentral:rRNA from 1 species